AAGUAACUCUGCUUCGGGAGAGUAUUAUAGACCCUAGGGGAUGCAGCCUGUGGGAUCGAGGAUUGCAGCAAAUGCCUUUGGCUUGUCGCCUGAUCUCUGGAUGUUACCUCGCUUUUGACAACAUUCUUGCCACUUGUGGGUACUAAUGCCCAUUAGGUUAGAGCGAUCAAAAAUUUUGCUAAGGAUGCUGACGUAAUGGCUUUAAACGACCCGUCUUGAAACACGGCUGUCUCUUAUACACAUCUCCGAGCCC
rnacentral:rRNA from 1 species